GCAUAUCAAUAAGCGGAGGAAAAGAAACCAACAGGGAUUGCCCUAGUAACGGCGAGUGAAGCGGCAACAGCUCAAAUUUGAAAUCUGGCUCUUUUAGAGUCCGAUGUUGUAAUUUGCAGAGGGCGCUUUGGCUUUGGCAGCGGUCCAAGUUCCUUGGAACAGGACGUCACAGAGGGUGAGAAUCCCGUACGUGGUCGCUAGCUAUUGCCGUGUAAAGCCCCUUCGACGAGUCGAGUUGUUUGGGAAUGCAGCUCUAAAUGGGAGGUAAAUUUCUUCUAAAGCUAAAUAUUGGCCAGAGACCGAUAGCGCACAAGUAGAGUGAUCGAAAGAUGAAAAGCACUUUGGAAAGAGAGUCAAACAGCACGUGAAAUUGUUGAAAGGGAAGCGCUUGCAGCCAGACUUGCUUGCAGUUGCUCAUCCGGGCUUUUGCCCGGUGCACUCUUCUGCAGGCAGGCCAGCAUCAGUUUGGGCGGUGGGAUAAAGGUCUCUGUCACGUUCCUUCCUUCGGGUUGGCCAUAUAGGGGAGAUGUCAUACCACCAGCCUGGACUGAGGUCCGCGCAUCUGCUAGGAUGCUGGCGUAAUGGCUGUAAGCGGCCCGUCUUGAAACACGGACCAAGGAGUCUAACAUCUAUGCGAGUGUUUGGGUGUCAAGCCCGAGCGCGUAAUGAAAGUGAACGGAGGUGGGAACCCGCAAGGGUGCACCAUCGACCGAUCCUGAAGUUUACGGAAGGAUUUGAGUAAGAGCAUGGCUGUUGGGACCCGAAAGAUGGUGAACUAUGCUUGAAUAGGGUGAAAGCCAGAGGAAACUCUGGUGGAGGCUCGCAGCGGUUCUGACGUGCAAAUCGAUCGUCAAAUUUGGGGCAUAGGGGCGAAAGACUAAUCGAACUAUCUAGUAGCUGGUUCCUGCCGA
rnacentral:rRNA from 1 species